GGAUUCCCCUAGUAACUGCGAGUGAAGCGGGAUGAGCUCAAAUUUAAAAUCUGGCGUCUUCGGCGUCCGAGUUGUAAUUUAGAGAAGCGUUUUCCGCGCCGGACCGUGUACAAGUCUCCUGGAACGGAGCGUCAUAGAGGGUGAGAAUCCCGUCUUUGACACGGACCCCCGGUGCUCUGUGAUACGCUCUCGAAGAGUCGAGUUGUUUGGGAAUGCAGCUCAAAAUGGGUGGUGAACUCCAUCUAAAGCUAAAUAUUGGCGAGAGACCGAUAGCGAACAAGUACCGUGAGGGAAAGAUGAAAAGCACUUUGGAAAGAGAGUGAAACAGUACGUGAAAUUGUUGAAAGGGAAACGCUUGAAGUCAGUCGCGUCCGCCAGGAUUCAGCCUCACGGUGUACUUUCUGGUGGACGGGCCAGCAUCACUUUCAAUCAUCGGACAAGGUCGAGAGGAAUGUGGCACCUUCGGGUGUGUUAUAGCCUCUUGUCGUAUACGGUGACUGGGAGUGAGGACCGCCUUUGUAGGAUGCUGGCGUAAUGGCUUUAAACGACCCGUCUUGAAACACGGACCAAGGAGUCUAACAUGCCCGCGAGUGUUUGGGUGGAAAACCCAUGCGCGUAAUGAAAGUGAAAGUUGGGAAGGCUGUCGCGGCCUGCACCGACGCCCGGACUCGAGAUUUAUCUAAGGUUCUGCGGUAGAGCGUGUAUGUUGGGACCCGAAAGAUGGUGAACUAUGCCUGAAUAGGGUGAAGCCAGAGGAAACUCUGGUGGAGGCUCGUAGCGAUUCUGACGUGCAAAUCGAUCGUCAAAUUUGGGUAUAGGG
rnacentral:rRNA from 1 species